AAGGGAGCGUAGGCGGCUGAUUAAGUCAGCGGUGAAAGGUAGCAGCUUAACUGUUUUACAUGCCGUUGAUACUGGUUAGCUUGAGUUGACAGAAGGCAGAUAGAAUUCCUGGUGUAGCGGUGAAAUGCUUAGAUACCAGGAGGAAUACCGAUUGCGAAGGCAGUCUGCUGCAGUCACACUGACGCUGAGGCUCGAAGGUGCGGGGAUCAAACAGGAUUAGAUACCCCAGU
rnacentral:rRNA from 1 species